GAUGAACGCUGGCGGCGUGCCUAAUACAUGCAAGUCGAGCGAACGGACGAGAAGCUUGCUUCUCUGAUGUUAGCGGCGGACGGGUGAGUAACACGUGGAUAACCUACCUAUCAGACUGGGAUAACUUCGGGAAACCGGAGCUAAUACCGGAUAAUAUUUUGAACCGCAUGGUUCAAAAGUGAAAGACGGUCUUGCUGUCACUUAUAGAUGGAUCCGCGCUGCAUUAGCUAGUUGGUAAGGUAACGGCUUACCAAGGCAACGAUGCAUAGCCGACCUGAGAGGGUGAUCCGACACCUGGGAACAGAGACAGGGUCCCGACUCCUACGGGAGGCAGCAGUCGGGAAUCUUCCGCAAUGGGCGAAAGCCUGACGGAGCAACGCCGCGUGAGUGCUGAAGGUCUUCGGAUCGUAAAACUCUGUUAUUAGUGGAGAACAUAUGUGUAAGUACCUGUGCACAUCUUGACGGUACCUAAUCAGAAAGCCACGGCUAACUACGUG
rnacentral:rRNA from 1 species